ACUCAAAGGAAUUGACGGGGGCCCGCACAAGCGGUGGAGCAUGUGGUUCAAUUCGACGCAACGCGAAGAACCUUACCCAGGCUUGAACAGCGACUGACAUCCGGCGAAAGCCGGCUCCCGCAAGGGCAGUCGUAGAGGUGCUGCAUGGCUGUCGUCAGCUCGUGUCGUGAGAUGUUGGGUUAAGUCCCGCAACGAGCGCAACCCUUGUCCUCUGUUGCCAUCAGGUUAAGCUGGGCACUCUGAGGAGACUGCCGGUGAUAAACCGGAGGAAGGUGGGGAUGACGUCAAGUCAGCAUGGCCUUUAUGUCUGGGGCUACACACGUGCUACAAUGGCAGAUACAAACCGUCGCGAUGCCGCAAGGUGGAGCUAAUCGGAGAAAAUCUGUCUCAGUUCGGAUAGCAGGCUGCAACUCGCCUGCUUGAAGUUGGAAUCGCUAGUAAUCGCGGAUCAGCACGCCGCGGUGAAUACGUUCCCGGGCCUUGCACACACCGCCCGU
rnacentral:rRNA from 1 species